UGAAAUACCGGAGGUUUCACUCCAAACCCCUGUGACAUACCAAUUGUUGCCUCGGCGGAUCAGCCCGCUCCCGGUAAAACGGGACGGCCCGCCAGAGGACCCCUAAACUCUGUUUCUAUAUGUAACUUCUGAGUAAAACCAUAAAUAAAUCAAAACUUUCAACAACGGAUCUCUUGGUUCUGGCAUCGAUGAAGAACGCAGCAAAAUGCGAUAAGUAAUGUGAAUUGCAGAAUUCAGUGAAUCAUCGAAUCUUUGAACGCACAUUGCGCCCGCCAGUAUUCUGGCGGGCAUGCCUGUUCGAGCGUCAUUUCAACCCUCAAGCCCCCGGGUUUGGUGUUGGGGAUCGGCGAGCCCUCGCGGCAAGCUGGCCCCGAAAUCUAGUGGCGGUCUCGCUGUAGCUUCCAUUGCGUAGUAGUAAAACCCUCGCAACUGGUACGCGGCGCGGCCAAGCCGUUAAACCCCCCAACUUCUGAAUGUUGACCUCGGAUCAGGUAGGAAUACCC
rnacentral:rRNA from 1 species